UGCCAGCCGCCGCGGUAAUACGUAGGGACCAAGCGUUGUUCGGAUUUAUUGGGUUUAAAGGGUGCGCAGGCGGGACGAUAAGACAGUGGUGAAAUCCUACAGCUUAACUGUAGAACUGCCAUUGAUACUGUUGUUCUUGAGUACAGUUGAGGUUGGCGGAAUGUGUCAUGUAGCGGUGAAAUGCUUAGAUAUGACACAGAACACCGAUUGCGAAGGCAGCUUACUAAGCUACGAUUGACGCUGAGGCACGAAAGCGUGGGGAGCGAACAGGAUUAGAUA
rnacentral:rRNA from 1 species